CACGGGUAGCCGGCCUGAGAGGGUGGACGGCCACAUUGGGACUGAGACACGGCCCAGACUCCUACGGGAGGCAGCAGUGGGGAAUAUUGCACAAUGGGCGCAAGCCUGAUGCAGCGACGCCGCGUGGGGGAUGAAGGCCUUCGGGUUGUAAACUCCUUUCAACCAUGACGAAGCAUUAUGUGACGGUAGUGGUAGAAGAAGCACCGGCUAACUACGUGCCAGCAGCCGCGGUAAUACAAA
rnacentral:rRNA from 1 species